rnacentral:rRNA from 1 species
CGGGGCUAAUACCGGAUAACAUUUUGAACCGCAUGGUUCGAAAUUGAAAGGCGGCUUCGGCUGUCACUUAUGGNNGGACCCGCGUCGCAUUAGCUAGUUGGUGAGGUAACGGCUCACCAAGGCAACGAUGCGUAGCCGACCUGAGAGGGUGAUCGGCCACACUGGGACUGAGACACGGCCCAGACUCCUACGGGAGGCAGCAGUAGGGAAUCUUCCGCAAUGGACGAAAGUCUGACGGAGCAACGCCGCGUGAGUGAUGAAGGCUUUCGGGUCGUAAAACUCUGUUGUUAGGGAAGAACAAGUGCUAGUUGAAUAAGCUGGCACCUUGACGGUACCUAACCAGAAAGCCACGGCUAACUACGUGCCAGCAGCCGCGGUAAUACGUAGGUGGCAAGCGUUAUCCGGAAUUAUUGGGCGUAAAGCGCGCGCAGGUGGUUUCUUAAGUCUGAUGUGAAAGCCCACGGCUCAACCGUGGAGGGUCAUUGGAAACUGGGAGACUUGAGUGCAGAAGAGGAAAGU